GAGGAUGUAGCUUAGUGGUAGAGCACAUGCUUAGCAUGCUCAAGACCCUGAGUUUGAUCCCCAGCAUCACCA
rnacentral:tRNA from 1 species